rnacentral:tRNA from 1 species
AGAUGAAUUUAAAGGACUUCUAAUCCUUCGUUAGUAUUAAAAUACUUCAUCUU